UGGGGAAUAUUGGACAAUGGGCGCAAGCCUGAUCCAGCCAUGCCGCGUGGGUGAUGAAGGCCCUAGGGUUGUAAAGCCCUUUCGGCGGGGAAGAUAAUGACGGUACCCGCAGAAGAAGCCCCGGCUAACUUCGUGCCAGCAGCCGCGGUAAUACGAAGGGGGCUAGCGUUGCUCGGAAUCACUGGGCGUAAAGCGCACGUAGGCGGAUUGUUAAGUCAGGGGUGAAAUCCUGGAGCUCAACUCCAGAACUGCCUUUGAUACUGACGGUCUUGAGUCCGGGAGAGGUGAGUGGAACUGCGAGUGUAGAGGUGAAAUUCGUAGAUAUUCGCAAGAACACCAGUGGCGAAGGCGGCUCACUGGCCCGGUACUGACGCUGAGGUGCGAAAGCGUGGGGAGCAAACAGGAUUAGAUACCCCUGUAGUCC
rnacentral:rRNA from 1 species